CCCUGUCCACAGAAAAAAACAGAUUAGGUGUAUCCGCAAAGACAAAUAUGGACCACAGCAGAUUGAAAUGCUGAAGGCAAGAACCAGUAAAAAAGGGGCUUAUGGUUGUUCUGGACGUUGACCAAGACUUGGACAGGUUUCACGUGAGCUCCUCUUCCACUCCGGCUGUUCAGGGAGGGCACCACCCUGUCUGGCCCUCGUGGCGACCUGGGCCGCUCUGCGAUUGGCUGGAGCCACGGCGCUGUAGCGAGCGGAGCCGCGAGCCGCAGACAGGCAUAGCGUGUCUGAGACAAAAACACGGGGCGUCCUGCCAGUUGUUGUCCCCCGAGGAGUGAGGACUGGGAGAUGGAAAACAUGGAGUGAAUGCCUUGCUGGCUCGAGGUCAGCUCGGUGUGGAGGGCUUCUCUGCAACACACUGUGCAUCUGCUUUGCAAAAAAAGCACUCUGGCCACACAGCAGAUGACUGCUGUUAGAGUUUUUUUGUAAAAGAAUAUUCAAUUUGGGAGCACGACCCUUUUUGCGGCUGGAUGAUUUAGCAAGUUAUAGAUUUUUGAAAAAACCUGAUGGAAACUCAAACUAAAUCUGCUAUAAGUUUAAAAGAGCAGCGUGACUCUGCAGGAACUCGUUUGUCGACUUCCCCAAUCAUAUAUCUUUGAUUCACAGCUGCCCUUAUUUGAACUGUUGCGUCAGUAAAUUUAAACCUAAACGGGAAAAUUCUGAUAGUUUCUGACAGUUUUUUUUUUAAACAUCACCGUAGGUUUUAUUUUGACCUUUGCUUCUACAAUUGGUAUUGUGUUGUCAAGACGUGACAUUUUAAACAACUUCCUCCCAGGCUAUGCACAUAAUGUCAUCUCCACCAUUCCAGUGUAAACCAGAAUGUCUGGUUAUCUUUACAUAGAACGAGCGUGUGUUUUAAUAAAACCCUCCCCCUUUCUUCCCCAUAACAUUAUCUGCUGUAUUGUAUACGUUAAUUAUUGGUUUGACAUCUGUAAUAUGGUUGGGAAGCGGUAUUUUUUCUCACAGGAAACCUAACCGCAUGCCAGUCGAGAGUGAAGCUUUGAGCCAAUCAAAAGACUCCAAGACUCAGAUUGAUCACCUGGACCUGUUCAAACUGCCUUAGGAAAAUCAUUUGCUUUGUUUUUUUUAAGGAAAAUCGCCUGCUCGUUUCCCACAACCUUCCCAGGAAGAGUUUUUCCAGACACACGUUUCCCUUUGUGGCUGAUCACAAUGACUCAGAGUGGUCUGGACACCAACGGGUGCCUGCGUGAGACGUGUGACAUGUUUGAUCAGAUACGAGACUGUGAAAUCCCCCGGUAUUCCCUACAGUGACAGUGGAGGUGAACAGUUGUCCUGAAAGACUGGCUGAACACCUUUUCCUCCUUUCCUUUAGAUCAGGUAGUAAUCAGCUUAAGUCUUGAUCUGUUGACACAGUGUUUCACGAGAAUCUGAUGAAAUCUGGAUAACCUUUAGAGCUUGACUAGUCGGGUAAAAACAAAAAUGUGAAUAUUCCUUUAUUACUUUAGACCUGGAGACUUUACUUCCUAUGAGAAGUAUUUAUGAACUUUUAAUUUGUUCGUGUUUAUCCCAGUUUGCUACUUAUGGUUGUAAGUGAUAGGUAGUGUAAUUGAUACAAAAUGUAUACUUUACACUGUAAUACAUUAUCUGGAUUUUCUCAUCUCUGGAUGACAUGGACAUUGUUGCUAAUUGGAUA